rnacentral:rRNA from 1 species
GAUGAACGCUGGCGGCGCGCCUAACACAUGCAAGUCGAACGGCACCCCCCUCCGGGGGGAAGCGAGUGGCGAACGGCUGAGUAACACGUGGAGAACCUGCCCCCUCCUCGGGAAUAGCCGCGGGAAACCGCGGGUAAUGCCCGACGACCCGGGGACCGCGCAUGCGGCCCCCGGCAAAGCCCAGGCGGGAGGGGAUGGCUCCGCGGCCCAUCAGGUAGACGGCGGGGUGACGGCCCACCGUGCCGACAACGGGUAGCCGGGUUGAGAGACCGACCGGCCAGAUUGGGACUGAGACACGGCCCAGACUCCUACGGGAGGCAGCAGUGGGGAAUCUUGCGCAAUGGGGGCAACCCUGACGCAGCGACGCCGCGUGCGGGACGGAGGCCUUCGGGUCGUAAACCGCUUUCAGCAGGGAAGAGACAAGACUGUACCUGCAGAAGAAGCCC